CAUUUAUCAUUUUUUUGUGCUCUGCUUGAUGUAAAUUGUAUCAAUUGAUUAUUUUGGAUGCCAAUUUACAUGGAUAUUGACAAUUUGAUCACAUAAUGUCAUCUUUGAUAAUCAACUAAAAGAGUAAACAAGAAUUGGAAUGGGAAUUGCAGGAGGAACCAAAAAACUAUGAUUGGGUUAAUCAAUCAUUGUAAUGUCUUAGAGGGUAAACCAAGAUAUCAAUCAAAUUGAUUAUUCACCUACACAUGAAAAAGGGUAAAUAAAUAUGGAUAAAUAAGCUUAAAAGGUAAGCAACAAGCGAAAAGCUGAAAAAAAUGAAACCUGAUUUUGAAAUGAAUUCAAUAAAAAUGAAAGCGAAUCAAUCAAUCGAUUGUAGUUGCUUUUAAUGCUUUUUAUGCUUUCUUUUUAUGCGCCAAUAUUUUUAGCAUGUGUUUGACACAGUGCUUUGUUAUAGAGGGAACAUUUUUUCAAUGCUUUGUUUUGUUCAUAAUUGAUAACUGUUUACCCAAUAUCUUGGAUUACAAUUAAUUUAAUCAUUUAAUUUAUUUUUUGUCUGUAUUAUUUUCAAUUGGACAAUUAAAGUAAUUGAGUCUAAUAGAGGAUUAAAGUUGACCCAAGUGAAAGGACAAGGUUUACUUUGGUAAACACAUGGAGUUGGCUAUUUGGUUACGUGACAAUCAUUGAAAUUGAGGUGAUAAUGACACACUGGAUGGUCCUAUCAAGACAAAAAUUGAAUGCAAUACUUGAGUUUUACAAAAAUCCUGUUAUUUAAGCUUUCAUCUUCUGACUGUUUUUGGUUUCGUCUGAUAUUUUGUUGCUGCUUAUUAGACUGAUGUGGAGUCAAUAUAAUGACACUCUGGUUACUUCAAUUAACUGCUUUGUUAAUCAAAUUAAGUUAAUCAAUUGAUGGUCUCAACAACUAUUGUUCUUUUAUUAAUUUGAAAUGAACAAGCUAUUGAAAGGGCGACGGAUAAAUAACCAGAAGAUGAUAAGGAUGACAAUUGGAGCAGUUGGAUCCUUUUUUUAGCAACAUUUUUGAUUUGUCCAUUUUGCUUCUUGAUUGGAAUCAACAAAUGAAGACAAUGUUAACACAUUUAACAACCUUUCUGUUUGCUGUUUAUUGAUAUAAACGUCAAUUCAAUCUGUUUAGGACUCAGGCUUAAGUAAAGAUUCAAGUUGAGACCAAGUGAAAACAAAAAGCAAAGAAAGUGCAAGAAGCAAGAAUAAUGUGAUACCCAAAAAAUAAUAUGUUGGUAAAUACAAAAGGAAGCUGUUGAGAAUCAAUUGAAUUGCAUGAGCAUUCAUGGACAUUGGAUAGGAAGGAAUGUUAUUUCAUCUGUUAUAUCUAAAAAACAGAGAGAUUUUGUUGCGAGUAUUUUGAUUUAACAAGUAAAGAUAAUAACUGAGUCGCUUGUAAAGCAAAGGAUACCAGAUUUAACAUCAACAAUAUGACAUUGACAACAAUUUUCACAAACUGCCCUGUCAAAUGAGAUGAAAAUUUUGAUUCUUUCAAUUUGCUUUUUCCCUCAAAGAAGCAAUUGAAACUUUGUCAAAAGUCAUCAUAAAAAUGUUAAUAAUAGUGAAAAAUGUUAAAGCUCAUCAUUUUUAUCCAUGAAUGUUCACUCAACCUCUCUUAAAUCCAGGAUAACUAUGAUUACUUUUUGUUUAGUUGAUGCUUAUUGAAUCAUUGUACCAGACAUUUACAUUGACCUUUAUCAGUUAAUCUAAAAAUAGCAACUCAAGUGUUGCCAUUUAAAUAUUAACUUGACUAAUCCUUUAUCACUUAAGCUAAUUGUUUAAGCAACGAGUUUUAAGUUGAUAGAGUUGAAUUAAUCCAAUAAAAAGAUGAUUAGUCUAAAAGAUUAAAGGUUACAUCAAAAGUUAGCCAAAAAUGAACAAAUAAAACUGGUUAACCAAACAUUCA